GAUGAACGCUGGCGGCGUGCCUAAUACAUGCAAGUCGAGCGAACGGACGAGAAGCUUGCUUCUCUGAUGUUAGCGGCGGACGGGUGAGUAACACGUGGAUAACCUACCUAUAAGACUGGGAUAACUUCGGGAAACCGGAGCUAAUACCGGAUAAUAUUUUGAACCGCAUGGUUCAAAAGUGAAAGACGGUCUUGCUGUCACUUAUCGAUGGAUCCGCGCUGCAUUAGCUAGUUGGUAAGGUAACGGCUUACCAAGGCAACGAUGCAUAGCCGACCUGAGAGGGUGAUCGGCCACACUGGAACUGAGACACGGUCCAGACUCCUACGGGAGGCAGCAGGAGGGAAUCUUCCGCAAUGGGCGAAAGCCUGACGGAGCAACGCCGCGUGAGUGAUGAAGGUCUUCGGAUCGUAAAACUCUGUUAUUAGGGAAGAACAUAUGUGUAAGUAACUGUGCACAUCUUGACGGUACCUAAUCAGAAAGCCACGGCUAACUACGUG
rnacentral:rRNA from 1 species